rnacentral:lncRNA from 1 species
GCCAGGCGUGGUGGUGGGUGCCUGUAGUCCCAGCUACUCAGGAGGCUGAGGCAGGAGAAUGGUGUGAAUCCAGGAGGCGGAGCUUGCAGUGAGCUGAGAUCGUGCCACUGCACUCCAGCCUGGGCAACAAAGCAAGACUCUGUCUCAAGAAAAAAAAAAAAAGAAUGCUCAUAUACAGGAUUGCUGCAACCAGGAUUGUAAUAACACAAAUGCAAGCCCAUAGCCCUGUGGUUAUUGCAGAAUCAGGAAUGCCUGUGUGAGUUGAGGUCACUUCUCAUUCUUUUUCAAUUUUGUUGUUAGAAGAUAGAUGAGGAAAGGAGAAGAAAAAGGUCCUAGUGAGAAACCCACUGAUGACCCUUCUAAUUGUUAUGAUCACUGCCCAAUUGUAUAAAUUGUCAUUGUUCACUAACCCAGUGCCUAGCAUGGUGCCAGGCACAUAGUUACUCUAAGAAAGCACAGUGAUUGCUGGAUUCUUUCUCUCCUUUUACAGCUCUUCAUGUGGAUGUCUGAGCUCCUAUCAGGUGUCUGAAAGAGGCAGAUUCUGAGGAUUUGGGUCAUGAUGGCUGCCAAAGCUUCUACGCCUGACUUAAAGGGCAACAAUCCUAGGAGACCACCAGCACUUACAUCCCUGGUGGGACAUGACACCUGCUUAUGGGAGGCAGCAGAUGGCUGAAAUUCUGAAGCAAUGUGGCUGGUUAAUGCACGAUCUGAAAACCCCUGCACUGGUGAUUUUGGGACAGAUCUAGAAUAUACCAAUAAAUAUAUUAACAUACCAAGUAGUCCAGGAGCAGCCACUGGGCAAACACCAAACCUUGCAUCCCCGGUGCUGUCUCUGAGCUCAACAGACACGUCUUUGCAGAAGAGUUCUAUAAUGGUGGUACAAUGGCGCCCCCCUCAUGACAGAAGCUUGAACUACAGCUUGAACAUCGGUGAGCAGGAAGGUGGGAGGGAGGGGCUGUGGCCCAUGCACACCCUAUAGAGCGUUCUGAAACUCUGGGUUGAAAAAGGAGGCAUUCCAGGUUAAAGGGAUACAGAAGUCCACUAGAUAUUCCAGCCUGUUUAUAUGCUGAAUAGAAAACUGUAUAUGGGAAUAAUAGAAAAAUCAUUUUAAUUUCUAUAGAGAUGAAAUAGACUGUCUACAUUGUUUAAUACAAUAGCUAAUGGCAACUGUGGC